AUUGAACGCUGGCGGCAUGCCUUACACAUGCAAGUCGAACGGCAGCACGGGGCAACCUGGUGGCGAGUGGCGAACGGGUGAGUAAUGCAUCGGAACGUGCCAUUGAGUGGGGGAUAACGUGGCGAAAGUUGCGCUAAUACCGCAUAUUCUGUGAGCAGGAAAGCAGGGGACCGCAAGGCCUUGCGCUCUUUGAGCGGCCGAUGUCAGAUUAGCUAGUUGGUGAGGUAACGGCUUACCAAGGCGACGAUCUGUAGCGGGUCUGAGAGGAUGAUCCGCCACACUGGAACUGAGACACGGUCCAGACUCCUACGGGAGGCAGCAGUGGGAAUUUUGGACAAUGGGCGCAAGCCUGAUCCAGCCAUGCCGCGUGAGUGAAGAAGGCCUCGGUUGUAAGCUCUUGCCGGAGAAUCGCGAUGGGUUAAUACCCUGUGUGGAUGACGGUACCGGAAGUAAGAAG
rnacentral:rRNA from 1 species